AUACCUUUCUCGGCCUUUUGACUAAGAUCAAGUGUAGUAUCUGUUCUUAUUAGUUUAAUAUAUGAUACGUGGGCCAUGUGUCCACGGAUAUUAAAUUAGCGAUUUUGCUAUAUCUCAC
rfam:Oryza sativa (indica cultivar-group) chromosome 8, whole genome shotgun sequence.